rnacentral:rRNA from 1 species
CGAAAGCCUGACGGAGCAACGCCGCGUGAGGGACGAAGGCCCCUGGGCUGUAAACCUCUUUUCUCAAGGAAGAAGAUAUGACGGUACUUGAGGAAUAAGCCACGGCUAAUUCCGUGCCAGCAGCCGCGGUAAUACGGGAGUGGCAAGCGUUAUCCGGAAUUAUUGGGCGUAAAGCGUCCGCAGGCGGCUUUUCAAGUCUGCUGUUAAAGCGUGGAGCUUAACUCCAUCAUGGCAGUGGAAACUGAAAGGCUUGAGUAUGGUAGGGGCAGAGGGAAUUCCCGGUGUAGCGGUGAAAUGCGUAGAUAUCGGGAAGAACACCAGUGGCGAAGGCGCUCUGCUGGGCCAUUACUGACGCUCAUGGACGAAAGCCAGGGGAGCGAAAG